rnacentral:rRNA from 1 species
GACGAACGCUGGCGGCGUGCUUAACACAUGCAAGUCGAACGGAAAGGCCCUGCUUUUGUGGGGUGCUCGAGUGGCGAACGGGUGAGUAACACGUGAGUAACCUGCCCUUGACUUUGGGAUAACUUCAGGAAACUGGGGCUAAUACCGGAUAGGAGCUCCUGCUGCAUGGUGGGGGUUGGAAAGUUUCGGCGGUUGGGGAUGGACUCGCGGCUUAUCAGCUUGUUGGUGGGGUAGUGGCUUACCAAGGCUUUGACGGGUAGCCGGCCUGAGAGGGUGACCGGCCACAUUGGGACUGAGAUACGGCCCAGACUCCUACGGGAGGCAGCAGUGGGGAAUAUUGCACAAUGGGCGGAGGCCGGAUGCAGCAACGCCGCGUGCGGGAUGACGGCCUUCGGGUUGUAACCGCUUUCGCCUGUGACGAAGCGUGAGUGACGGUAAUGGGUAAAGAAGCACCGGCUAACUACGUG